rnacentral:tRNA from 1 species
UCCCUGGUAGUCCAGUGGUAAAGACUCCGCCUGCCAAGGCAGGGGGCCCGGGUUCAAUCCCUGGUCGGGGAA